rnacentral:rRNA from 1 species
AGCGAACGCUGGCGGCAGGCCUAACACAUGCAAGUCGAACGAACUCUUCGGAGUUAGUGGCGGACGGGUGAGUAACACGUGGGAACGUGCCUUUUGGUUCGGAAUAACUCAGGGAAACUUGUGCUAAUACCGAAUGUGCCCUUCGGGGGAAAGAUUUAUCGCCAUUAGAGCGGCCCGCGUCCGAUUAGCUAGUUGGUGAGGUAACGGCUCACCAAGGCGACGAUCAGUAGCUGGUCUGAGAGGAUGACCAGCCACACUGGGACUGAGACACGGCCCAGGCUCCUACGGGAGGCAGCAGUGGGGAAUCUUGCGCAAUGGGCGAAAGCCUGACGCAGCCAUGCCGCGUGAAUGAUGAAGGUCUUAGGAUUGUAAAAUUCUUUCACCGGGGACGAUAAUGACGGUACCCGGAGAAGAAGCCCCGGCUAACUUCGUG